GGACAGGUGGCCGAGCGGUCGAAGGCGCACGCCUGGAACGCGUGUAUACGGGAAACCGUAUCGAGGGUUCGAAUCCCUCUCUGUCCG
rnacentral:tRNA from 1 species